UCAAAUCCCUGUUCCAAAUGAAUGACCUGCGAACACGUUCCGAAAACAAUAAGCGUUGUUGCGCCCUUGCUCGGUCGGUCACUUAAUUAUUUGUUGUUGCGGGACGCGUCGAGCAUGGAAAAACGAAAUCCGGCGCGGGAAGCGCCAAGGACUAGCAAAAUAGAGGAUGGCCUUCCCGCGGUGUAUCCUCGCCGCGGGGAUUAAAGGGUCUCCAAAAGAAAAUCAAUCUUAUACGACGACUCUCGGCAACGG
rnacentral:misc_RNA from 1 species